CUCAUCUUGAAAUGUAUGAUGUAGAUAAAAGCUUAACAUCUGUACCAUACAACGCGUUAUCUCUCCUAUCGAAUCUCGAGAUUUUCUCCAUGAAGAAAGCAUUCAUAGAACUGACGUCAGAAAGUAAUUACGUUCUGUCAAAACUGACAAUUGUAACGCUAGAUGAAUGUAGAAUCAAAAGUGUACCGAAAGGCGCGUUCAAGGCUACCCCCGAAAUAACACAUUUGAGUCUG
rnacentral:misc_RNA from 1 species